rnacentral:rRNA from 1 species
ACUGCUCAGUAACACGUGGAUAACCUGCCCUUGGGUCCGGCAUAACCCCGGGAAACUGGGGAUAAUACCGGAUAACGCACAUAUGCUGGAAUGCUUUAUGCGUAAAAUGGAUUCGUCUGCCCAAGGAUGGGUCUGCGGCCUAUCAGGUAGUAGUGGGUGUAAUGUACCUACUAGCCAACAACGGGUACGGGUUGUGAGAGCAAGAGCCCGGAGAUGGAUUCUGAGACAUGAAUCCAGGCCCUACGGGGCGCAGCAGGCGCGAAAACUUUACAAUGCGGGAAACCGUGAUAAGGGGACACCGAGUGCCAGCAUCAUAUGCUGGCUGUCCGGGUGUGUAAAAUACACCUGUCAGCAAGGGCCGGGCAAGACCGGUGCCAGCCGCCGCGGUAACACCGGCGGCCCGAGUGGUGAUCGUGAUUAUUGGGUCUAAAGGGUCCGUAGCCGGUUUGGUCAGUCCUCCGGGAAAUCUGACGGCUUAACCGUUAGGCUUUCGGGGGAUACUGCCAGGCUUGGAACCGGGAGAGGUAAGAGGUACUACAGGGGUAGGAGUGAAAUCUUGUAAUCCCUGUGGGACCACCUGUGGCGAAGGCGUCUUACCAGAACGGGUUCGACGGUGAGGGACGAAAGCUGGGGGCACGAACCGGAUUAGAUACCCGGGUAGUCCCAGCCGUAAACGAUGCUCGCUAGGUGUCAGGCAUGGCGCGACCGUGUCUGGUGCCGCAGGGAAGCCGUGAAGCGAGCCACCUGGGAAGUACGGCCGCAAGGCUGAAACUUAAAGGAAUUGGCGGGGGAG